rnacentral:rRNA from 1 species
GACGAACGCUGGCGGCGUGCUUAACACAUGCAAGUCGAACGGAAUGGCCCUGCUUUUGUGGGGUGCUCGAGUGGCGAACGGGUGAGUAACACGUGAGUAACCUGCCCUUGACUUUGGGAUAACUUCAGGAAACUGGGGCUAAUACCGGAUAGGAGCUCCUGCUGCAUGGUGGGGGUUGGAAAGUUUCGGCGGUUGGGGAUGGACUCGCGGCUUAUCAGCUUGUUGGUGGGGUAGUGGCUUACCAAGGCUUUGACGGGUAGCCGGCCUGAGAGGGUGACCGGCCACAUUGGGACUGAGAUACGGCCCAGACUCCUACGGGAGGCAGCAGUGGGGAAUAUUGCACAAUGGGCGGAAGCCUGAUGCAGCAACGCCGCGUGCGGGAUGACGGCCUUCGGGUUGUAAACCGCUUUCGCCUGUGACGAAGCGUGAGUGACGGUAAUGAGUAAAGAAGCACCGGCUAACUACGUG